rnacentral:rRNA from 1 species
AGCGAACGCUAGCGGCGGGCCUAACACAUGCAAGUCGAGCGCAUACCUUCGGGUAUGAGCGGCGGACGGGUGAGUAACGCGUAGGUCAUCUACCCUUUGGUGGGGGAUAACCCAGGGAAACUUGGGCUAAUACCGCACGAGGUCUACGGAUCAAAGCCUUCGGGCGCCAGAGGAUGAGCCUGCGUCGCAUUACCUAGUUGGCGGGGUAACGGCCCACCAAGGGGACGAUGCGUAGCUGGUCUGAGAGGAUGAUCAGCCACACUGGGACUGAGACACGGCCCAGACUCCUACGGGAGGCAGCAGUGGGGAAUAUUGCGCAAUGGGGGAAACCCUGACGCAGCCACGCCGCGUGGGUGAUGAAGGCCUUCGGGUUGUAAAGCCCUGUCGGGAGGGACGGAAUUCUUGACGGUACCUCCAAAGAAAGCACCGGCUAACUCCGUGCCAGCAGCCGCGGUAAU